rnacentral:rRNA from 1 species
AGUGAACGCUGGCGGCAGGCCUAACACAUGCAAGUCGAACGGCAGCACAGUAAGAGCUUGCUCUUACGGGUGGCGAGUGGCGGACGGGUGAGGAAUAGAUCGGAAUCUACUUUUUCGUGGGGGAUAACGUAGGGCAACUUACGCUAAUACCGCAUACGAUCUACGGGUUAGAGCAGUGGAUCUUCGGACCUUGCGCGACUGAAUGAGCUGAUGUCGGAUUAGCUAGUUGGCAGGGUAAAGGCCCACCAAGGCGACGAUCCGUAGCUGAUCUGAGAGGAUGAUCAGCCACACUGGAACUGAGACACGGUCCAGACUCCUACGGGAGGCAGCAGUAGGGAAUCUUGGGCAAUGGGCGAAAGCCUGAUCCAGCCAUACCGCGUGAGUGAAGAAGGCCUUCGGGUUGUAAAGCCCUGUUGUUGGGAAAGAAAAACAGCAGGUUAAUCCACCGCUGUUCUGACGGUACCCAAACAAUAAGCACCGGCUAACUUCGUG